GUGCUCACAUCAGCAGCCCAUAUACUAAAAUUGGAACAAUACAGAGAAGCUUAGCAUGGCCCCUGUGCAAGGAUGACAUGCAAGUUCAUGAAGUGUUCCAUAUUCUU
ensembl:snRNA Gm23846 predicted gene, 23846